GCUGGGGGCAGGCAGUUUUAGCCUUGCUGUAACCAGCGCUCCGCGUUUACACUGCCCCGUUCCAGCCUCCCCGCGUAACCUCCAGCAGUGAGGUAUGUAGCGAACUGACUCGAAUUGAGCCGCGGCUGUACAGCUCCAAGAAGGACGCUUUCUAAGCUGUCUCAAGCCCCAGCUAACUUUCCCAUGGAGCCAAGCAACUGGCAAAUUUUCUGCCAGUGGUGAGUAUGGUGCAGCAUCUUCGUGGAUCAAAGGGCAAAAAGGAGACUGAAAAGUAUCAACAAGAGGAGCUUCCAUU